rnacentral:rRNA from 1 species
GUACAUGCCUACAAUGUAUCAUCAAUGCACCGGAUCCCAUUAGAACUCCAAAAUUAAGUGUGCUCAUGAAAGAUUAGUACUAGGAUGGGUGACUAAGAGAAGUUCACCACCAAUGAAUC